GUAGGUGGCAAGCGUUGUCCGGAAUUAUUGGGCGUAAAGCGCGCGCAGGCGGUCCUUUAAGUCUGAUGUGAAAGCCCACGGCUCAACCGUGGAGGGUCAUUGGAAACUGGGGGACUUGAGUACAGAAGAGGAAAGCGGAAUUCCAAGUGUAGCGGUGAAAUGCGUAGAGAUUUGGAGGAACACCAGUGGCGAAGGCGGCUUUCUGGUCUGUAACUGACGCUGAGGCGCGAAAGCGUGGGGAGCAAACAGGAUUAGAUACCCUGGUAGCCCACGCCGUAAACGAUGAGUGCUAAGUGUUAGGGGGUUUCCCGCCCCCCUUAGUGCUGCAGCUAACGCAUUAAGCACUCCGCCUGGGGGAGUACGGCCCGCAAGGCUG
rnacentral:rRNA from 1 species